rnacentral:rRNA from 1 species
AGUGAACGCUGGCGGUAGGCCUAACACAUGCAAGUCGAACGGCAGCACAGUAAGAGCUUGCUCUUACGGGUGGCGAGUGGCCGACGGGUGAGGAAUACAUCGGAAUCUACUUUUUCGUGGGGGAUAACGUAGGGAAACUUACGCUAAUACCGCAUACGACCUACGGGUGAAAGCAGGGGAUCUUCGGACCUUGCGCGAUUGAAUGAGCCGAUGUCGGAUUAGCUAGUUGGCGGGGUAAAGGCCCACCAAGGCGACGAUCCGUAGCUGGUCUGAGAGGAUGAUCAGCCAAACUGGAACUGAGACACGGUCCAGACUCCUACGGGAGGCAGCAGUGGGGAAUAUUGGACAAUGGGCGCAAGCCUGAUCCAGCCAUACCGCGUGGGUGAAGAAGGCCUUCGGGUUGUAAAGCCCUUUUGUUGGGAAAGAAAAGCAGCAGGUUAAUACCCCGCUGUUCUGACGGUACCCAAAGAAUAAGCACCGGCUAACUUCGUG